GCUGUGAUUUUGCCAAAUCAGACAUGUUCCUGGAUCACCAUCUUUUGUUGAUCCUGGGACAACAUUACUGUCCAAUAACAUAUUCUAACCCCAAUCCC